UUGAGCUGAUUGUUUGGGUACUAAAAAUGUAAAAGUUUGAUCAGGGGUAACUACAGCUGCUGUACCAUUAUUUGACCCAUCAGUGAAUAUAUUUGGAGCAUUCAUAAUAGGUGUUUUUCUUGUCAUUUUUGGAAAAACUACAGGAUGUGAAGACCAAAAAGACAACAAAGGAUUAGAUGGUAAGUGGUUAUCAAAUGAAACAUUAGAUUUGCACAUGAUUAUUGCCCAAGUAUUUAACUCAUUAGCUAACUCAUCAAUUUGAUCCAUUGUAUAUGGAGUAAUAAUUUUAUUGGGAGAAAUUCCAAAUACUCACUUUGCUGCUUUUAUUCCUUUGAGUAUCAAUUGUCCUACAGCCUCAGGAUACCUAGUAAGAAUAGGGUUAGGAGAAUAAGAUAAAUGUAUCCAUAAUAAUGGACCUUCUUGCCAAAAUACUCCUGUAGGAACAUUUUUUGUUGGUAGUACAAUAAAUAAUAAAGGCAAACUUAUAUCAAUUCUAUCCAAAUGCAUAUUUUCCAUAUAUGUUUCAAUGAUUUUUUAAUGUCUUUCUUGCUUCAGACGUUAACAUGCGG
rnacentral:lncRNA from 1 species